GACGAACGCUGGCGGCGUGCUUAACACAUGCAAGUCGAACGGAAAGGCCCUGCUUUUGUGGGGUGCUCGAGUGGCGAACGGGUGAGUAACACGUGAGUAACCUGCCCUUGACUUUGGGAUAACUUCAGGAAACUGGGGCUAAUACCGGAUAGGAGCUCCUGCUGCAUGGUGGGGGUUGGAAAGUUUCGGCGGUUGGGGAUGGACUCGCGGCUUAUCAGCUUGUUGGUGGGGUAGUGGCUUACCAAGGCUUUGACGGGUAGCCGGCCUGAGAGGGUGACCGGCCACAUUGGGACUGAGAUACGGCACAGACUCCUACGGGAGGCAGCAGUGGGGAAUAUUGCACAAUGGGAGGAAGCCUGAUGCGGCAACGCCGCGUGCGGGAUGACGGCCUUCGGGUUGUAAACCGCAUUCGCCUGUGACGAAGCGUGAGUGACGGUAAUGGGUAAAGAAGCACCGGCUAACUACGUG
rnacentral:rRNA from 1 species